rnacentral:rRNA from 1 species
GAUGAACGCUAGCGGCAGGCUUAACACAUGCAAGUCGAGGGGUAUAGGGAGCUUGCUUCCUAGAGACCGGCGCACGGGUGCGUAACGCGUAUGCAAUCUACCUUUUGCAGAGGAUAGCCCAGAGAAAUUUGGAUUAAUACCUCAUAGUAUGUGAGAAUGGCAUCAUUUUCACAUUAAAGUCACAACGGCAAAAGAUGAGCAUGCGUCCCAUUAGCUUGUUGGUAAGGUAACGGCUUACCAAGGCAACGAUGGGUAGGGGUCCUGAGAGGGAGAUCCCCCACACUGGUACUGAGACACGGACCAGACUCCUACGGGGAGGCAGCAGUGAGGAAUAUUGGACAAUGGGCGCAAGCCUGAUCCAGCCAUGCCGCGUGCAGGAUGACGGUCCUAUGGAUUGUAAACUGCUUUUGACAGGAAGAACACUGGUUCGUGAACCAGCUUGACGGUACUGUAAGAAUAAGGAUCGG